rnacentral:ncRNA from 1 species
CUUUGAACGACAUUACAGUUCAAGGCGGAAGGAG